rnacentral:lncRNA from 1 species
GUUAAUAGAAAAAAAUCGAUCCCAACGAAAGCUUUAAGUGAGUCAACUGUGUUCAGCUCAAAAGGAGUCCUUUUUAUUCUUGGUGUGAGCCAGAGGAGUGGGCCUGUUUAAUUAAGGAGAACAGUACUGGGAAAAAUUGGGGUGUGCUUUGAUUUCUACAGUGGAAGGAGUUUACCCAAGAAUUGAAAGCAAAGCCUCUGUCCUGCCAGUGGAGGUUUCUCAAUCCUUCAUAUGGGGAACCUGUAUAGUCCCGGGGACCACAGGAGCUGCCCUUCCAUGCUGCCAGCUUGCUCUCACGGACCACAGUGGAUGCAACAGGAGACUGAAGUCUCCGUGGAGGCUGCCUCCCCACCAGGCGGCUUCUUUGCCUCCAGAACCGAAGUCUAGUGUUGGCCUUUCAACUCAGGUAAGAUUGAAAACAAGCCUUAUGUGGCACAGUCUGUGUCAUCUCCAUGUUACCAUUUGGUGUCACGCAUCACGGGUCACAUCACUAAUUUGAUAUGUAGUUGUUGUUUCCUUUUGCGUCCUAAGUUGUGUCCACCUCUUUUGUGACCCCAUGGACUGUAGCCCGCCAGGCUCUGCUGUCCAUGGGAUUUCCCAGACAAGAAUAUAGGAGUGAGUUGCCAUUUCCUUCUCCAGGGGAUCUUCCUGACCUAUGGAUUGAACAUGCAUCUCCUACAUUGCAAGUGGAUUCUUUACCAACUGAGCCACCAGGGAAGCUCUUUCCUUACUUUUAUUAAUGUCCAUAUUCAUGCUUUGAGAUGAGUGUAUUUCUCAUGAGAUUGUCAGCUCUACACAAAUAAGGCUUUUAUUAGCCCUUUUGUACCGUGCUUUGUAUAUACAAUUAGAAAUAAUAUAAUAGAAUUAUAAGAACUCUAUUUUCUGAGACAUGCACACUUUCAGACUUUGGUUUACUGAGUGAGCAUGGACCAUAACAUAUUAACAAUGUGAUGUGUAUAUGAUUUUAGCUAGUGCUCAAUAUGUGUGAAAUUAUAUACAAAAUUUGAAUGGAAAAACGCUAAGGUCUCACUGUUACCUGCUUCAUGUUAGAAAAUAAUAUCAGAAUAUUAGUUCCAAUAUGUAUAGCCUACAUCUGAUAGAGAUCCUUUAAUUUUUGUUUCUCAAAUUAAAAGCAUUCAAUUUUCUCUAGAAAAUGCUUGUUUCUCUCAACCUCAUUAUGAAAACAUUUUCUGCAUACUUUGCCUAAAAUUACCUUGUUUUUUGUUUUAAUUACACAACUCCAAAUCACUUUUCCUCAUUAGUAUUUGAUAAUUAUAAGCAAAGAAGCAAAUAUAAAAACAAGAAGUCCAUGAGCAGUGCAGUCAUGCAUUUUCUGCUUCUCUCUGUUGAUAGCACUGAUGAAGUGUAUUUAAUUUCAAUCUGCUGAAUGACCACAUUCAUAAUUCGUGUUCAUUUCCAUUCCAGGAUGAUUUCUUUCCAGUUUGAUUCAAUAUACAUAAUUUUUCCUUAAGCAUACAUGUCCACAUUCCUUUGAACUUGUUUUUGUCUGGGGAAGGAGGAAAGAAAUUAACCCUCAUUUUGUAUCUCCUUUUGACACAGCCUGUUUUUGGCACUUGCCACAUAUUACCUCAUUUGAUUCUGUGUACAAUCUUGGGAAGCUGGAAUUAUUAUUCUUACUCUAAAGAUGAAAAACUGAUGGCUAGAAACCAACGUGCCCAAGAUUGUUUAAUUAGGAAAUGGCAGAGCCAGAAUUCAAUAAAACCAUCCUCUUUUGGUUAUUGGUUUUAAUG